GACGGGUAUCCGGCCUGAGAGGGUGAACGGACACACUGAACUGAGACACGGUCCAGACUCCUACGGGAGGCAGCAGUAGGGAAUAUUGCUCAAUGGGGGAAACCUGAAGCAGCAACGCGCGUGGAGGAUGAAGGUUUUCGGAUUGUAAACUCUUUUCUAAGAGAAGAUUAUGACGGUAUCUUAGGAAUAAGCCGGCUAACUCUGCCAGCAGCGCGGUAAUACGGAGGGUGCAAGCGUUACUCGGAAUCACUGGGCGUAAAGAGCGCGUAGGCGGGAUAGCAAGUCAGAUGUGAAAUCCUAUGGCUUACAUAGAACUGCAUUUGAACUGUUAUUCUA
rnacentral:rRNA from 1 species